GCAUCUUCCGUGCCCGGUGGGGAUGCUCUGAGGAAACGGACCCGCCUCCCCCAGAGGGCGCAUCCCAUAAACCGACCGCUACUGAGGACGCCGGGGAGCGUCGGAGGGGCGGAUGCCGCGGAGUGAGGAGGCGGCUGUAGGCGCGACCGGUGCCGGACGCCGGCUUGGGUGGGCGGGAGUGGCUGCCAGACCCCCACUUCCUCAGGUCUGUCACCCGCUCCCUCCCUCACCAUAGCAUUGACAUACUUGUGUGACUGUCUGAUGGUCUGUUGGUUCCUUGUGGUAACCCCAGAAGUUCCUGGGGGUAGCGGGCCCUCAAAUAAGUGUGCGAGAAAUGAAUGAAGCAUGGCCCGCCCUCCUCCUGGUGGGGCCGCGGCAGCAAGGCGAAGGAAGGAAGGUGGUGAACUCGGGGGUCGAGGACCCCGACUAAGCACAAUAAGCCCAUCACCCGUCGGGAGGAGCACCCCUGUUAGAACAGCUCAGGGAAGUUGGGCAUGUGGGGUGUGAAGUUGCUCUGCCAGACAGAAGCAGGAGUCCAGCGCAGAGGAGGUGUGAGCUGCCCACAGAGCCGUCUUCCCAGUGCCCCUCCCCAGAGGUUCUCUUCCUCUGGAAUAUUAAGCGGAAGAAUUCCUCCCCCAGCAGCCCCGGCGUCGAUCCCUGCAGCAGCUCUGGCCUGCCGGGGGUCUCCACUGGCCUUGCCACUGCCCACCUCUCAGAACUCCAGGACACAAUACUGACCUUGGCCUGGCCUCCAGGGAAAGCACGAAGGGAGACCACUCUCAGCCCCAUACCCGGGGAAGAGCCUCUCCUCACACCUAAAGACUCGCCAACACAGGACCCCCAUCAGAAUUUGAAGAUUUCACAAGAGCUUCAGGACACGGAGAACUUGAAUUUCAACAUCUGAUUUCAGGAUCUGUAACGGCGAAAGCACCAGGAGAUGGAAAUGGGCAGACUUCCUGUUAACUGCACUAAAAACUCAGCUCUUGUGGGAAUUGCCGCUCCAGAGACAUCCACUCCAGUGAAGUUUCAGAGGAUGCCAGCACACCUCCUCAGACUUGAAAGACAACUCACUACAUCUUGCUCUCACCUUACCCUUUAUUGGGAGUUUUUCCUGUUACCCAGGUAGUGGUGCCAGGGAUGAUAAAACACACACACAAAAUGACUCCCUGAGUAGUCAGGAAGAAUAGGUAGAACUUAUUAUUACACAAGUUCUACCUCGUGUAGAGAUGUUUUUAUAUUUGUGGUAAUCUCCAAAGCUUUUUUCUAAUAUUUAAUUAAUAUGCUCACACACGCACACACACACACACACACACAAAACUUUGACAUCUCUCAUUUGAAUGUCUGUGAUGGCCUAGACUUUCUCCUUUUUAUCCCAUGAUAAGUUGAGCUUUGUAAUAAGAGAAAAAGCCUUGGUGCUUAGUUCAAAGGGAUGCUUGGAAGACACCUCAGCAAAAGAUAAAGAACGGGAGAACUCUAAACUCCUAAAGUCCCCAUUCUCUCGUAUAUCCAGUUGUGACAACUAUUUCUGGUAUUGCAAACACAGCCAACAUUCCUAUACAUUUCUUGAUGCAAAUGUGUCAUUAAUAAUCGAUGUUGUGGACAUACGGGAGUUUUUGGCUUCUCAACAGCCAUUUCCCUUCCUAAUAAUAUUGCAGUUUUCCCUAGAUACAGUCUGACAGGGUUGGAAUCUGGGACCGUCUAUAAAUAAGAGGUGUGCAUGCCCUGAUACUAACUGGCCCAUGCAGAUUUUUCUUCCUGGAAUUCAAGUCAUGGACAAGAGAAAAGAACCCAGAAUGGUUGAUUCUGAAUCCUGCACGUGCAGUUCCCUGAUCGCUCUGGGAUCGUGAGGCUGCCGUUGUAGUGGCUGAGGCUGACUUCACCAUCUCUGAGGCUGACUUGGUCCUGCCUCUCUCAAGCCUUGUUCUCUGUUUCCUAACGAUUCUGUGAUGUUUCCAGUAACUUCUUUUCAUAAAUUAAGAAAAGCAGUUUGCUGAAAAAUAUGAACUAAUACAACUGCCAUCACCUCUUCUCACUUUCUAGUGAUCAGAAGAGCAACGUGAGCACUGGCACCAGCCCGUGGAUGAGGGACAAAAGCUUUGAAAAGAGAAUGUUUCUACAUGAACACAGAGGCCAAAGCGAAAGAACGCCUGGUAGGAGACCGCGAAGUAGCUAGCAAUUAGUUUCAUGUUUCUCCUCAGAAGACAUUUGAUUCUAAACUAUAAGCCUGGAUGAAUAGGCAUCAAAUUAUUAGCUGAUGACACUACAAGAAAUCUAAUUUUUUCUUGAUGCUUAUUUAUAUUUUGUAACUGCUAAUUUUUAACAUUUUAUGUAGUGUAUUCUUAAAUUCUAUGAGGGACAUUAGAGAGAUUCAAAGAAGUUAAGUUUUCUAUAGAUGAAGUAUAUUUCCCCUUACUCCAAAUAACUAAGCAGAUUGUUGCACCAAUAAGCAAAUACUCUGUCAUUGUCCUGAUCAUCCUUUGCAAAUUGCAACGAAUUGUGAGCUCCAGCAUCCCUGACAUCAUUCCCACAAUUCUUAGCCUCCAUAUGUGAUACCCCUUUGUCCUCUUUCUGCCUACUUGGGAUCUGUGUGACCUUUUGGCCUCAUCCGGGGAAAGGUCCACAGAGGAAAGGUUUGAUGGUCCCCAUCCCAGGGAUGCUGAAGGACUGAGUUCGAGUGCUCGAGCAGUCAGUUCUCACAGACGUUCCAGCUGCGCUGAGCGGAGCUAAUGGCCUGGAGCCAGCAUGGUGCCCUCACCUCUCUGGCAAGGCGUCUCCCUUUUAAAGCCAAGAAGUAGACAAUGAGAAGGGGGUUAUAGCAGAGUGUAAGCAACGGGCUUGAGAAUGAGUCUGAGAGAGUGCAGGGAGCAGGCUGGCAAUAACAACCCGUGAGGAGGAGGGCAGGAAAGAGGGAAGAGUCCAGCUUUGUGACGGAUGCCCCACCUAGGCCCUGAGGAGGGCUCUGGGCAGGGGAGUUCUAGAAGUCAUGUGAUAGGUCUCUGGGGGAAGGACAGAGUAAGGUCAAAGCCAGACAGAAAUCCAAGUGAGGUUAGUCAGUCAGUGUGAACUAGUUCACUAGAAAUGAAGAGAACUUAUAGCGUACCUUGGUUCUCAGGUGGGAUGAGACAAGUGAAGUGAUGCUAAUCAAGAAAGUAAAGAGAUAAAAGAACAGAGCUCCGGGUUGAGCAUCUGACAGCAUAUCAAGUAGACCCUGACUCAAGUCUGUGUGUCACCUUCCUUCUGUUCUGACCACAGUGGCGAUCACUGUCUCGUAUCUAUGCUCCAGUGACCAUAAACCUCUCACCACUUUUCCAUGGGGUGCCUCCCCUCGUCAGGUUACUUCCUCCACUUGACAUGUGGAAGGAGGCAGCAAAUGGAGCCUGAAGGGGAAAAGAGGAGAGACAGACAGGGCAGCUCCUAGCUGUGUGUUGGUCAUUAAUCAGGUGUGUUUUGGUGUGGCAUGAUCUUAACUCCUGUCAUUUUUUCCAGAUCUAUACCAUGAAGAACACAGAGUAAAUCAAUGGCCCCCCAAAACUGUCCACGAGUCAGAAUCAUCAGAGCUUGUCUCUAAGAGGGGACCAGGGAUAAUUUUAACUUUUCCAAGCCCUGCCUGCCCUACCCUAACCUCAGAGGUCUGGAGAGAAGCGUCUGAAGGAUGUUUUAACUGCAAACCUCAAUGAUUUCAGUGCCUUCAGACAACAGCUGAGGAGAGGAAGGAUCGCUGCCUAAAGUAGAGGUGGGGGGACAGGGAGUGGGCGUAGGAGAAAGGACAUCAGUUUGCAGGGAUGUCAGAUGGCACAGCACUGGCAAGCUUAUUUCUAAGAUGCUGACAGCCAGGGUGUGGUUCCACAGACUUAGAGUGUUUAUGAGAGACUCAAAAGCUGCUGGGGGUAUAGCUCAGGGGUAGAGCAUUUGACUGCAGAUCAAGAGGUCCCUGGUUCAAAUCCAGGUGCUCCCUGCUCUCUCUUUGCAUUUAUUCCCUGUAGCAGCUGUUCUCUCUUUGCAUUUAUUCCCUGUAGCAGCUGUUGCCACCCCAACACUGAAACCUCUGAGGAUGCAAGAGGGCAGAAACGGGCUGGGAGCCCGUGGUUUCUCCCAGGCCCCCGCACUCUACUAGCCAACCCCAUUGUGCUGGUCUGUCCUCCUAUUUCUUCACAGGAACGUUUGGCCUGGAACAUAAACCAUCUUCUUCUAUUUUCACAACCUCAAAUAGUGUGAUUCAGUGGGAAGCAAGCUCUGCAACCUGCUACGCCAAACACAUGAACCAAAUACUGUGGCCCUGCUGACUGAGGGCCCGGUCUAGACUUUGCAGAGUGAGUGAUGCACAGAGGCAGGAGACCGAUUAUUCCUCAUUCCAGGGAGGCACAGCUCGGACCCCAGGGCAGGGCUGGGCUCACCCAGUGUCCAGUGGGGGCUGCAGUGGCUUCUGCUGCAUGUGCUGCUCAGCUGUGGCCUUGGCUGUGAUUCUGGCCCAUGGGGUCCCCUUAAGCCGGGCUCUCCUGCCUUUCCUCCAGGGCCAUGGGCCCCUGACAGCCUGUCAGGGAUCUUCCAGUCUGUCUCCAUUAGACAAGGUCAGGUUCUGGGUUUGCACCUGUGUGUAAUGGUGAGCACAGAAAUUGGUACCAGGAAUGAUUUGCAAGCAAGAGAUCUUCUGAGAAAUGGGGGUAUAUGGGAAUUGGGGGUUAAUUGUCAGACCUAGUUGUACUGAAGCCAGUAAAAGUCUAGUUGGUCGGUCUGGAUGGGAAUCUAGCAGACCAGGAUUCACAGGGGCAACAAAAAGCUAAAUAAAUUUUGUCCUGUAGUCAGCUGAAAUGAAUGCCCACUGAGAUCAAGAAGCCUGGAGGGUAGCUGAUUCUAAUGUGUGGCAAUGACUGGAUCAGAGGUGCAGCCUCUUCAUCCAGUGCACGGAAGGGGACACAGGCCUCUGACGAAUGUGCUGUGAGAAUCUAAGUUAAUGCAUGACACAGCAGAACGCCGGAAGCAACCUUUGUAUUGCAAUUGCCAAACUCAGUUAAAUUCAGAGCCUGCCUGGUCUCUUGUAUGAAAGUUAGGACAUUUAUCAGGGAAGAACAGUCCUCUGAAAAUUGUAAAGGGGUUGAUGAGAGGAUGUGGAGGACCCGAACUCCGCCAGUCCCCGGGGAUUUCCUCUCCCAUCAGGACUGAUAGAAGAGCUUGCAGAGUGCGCAGUACCUCCAUCCCUCAGCCACCAAAUGCAGAGCCUGCCUACUCAUCGUAAUAACUGAAGACACCACCAGAAUCCUCGUGCUAUGGGUUUAAAAUCCCACGGCCUGUGGUUCCAUAAGGGGACAGUCGGGGGCCCUGCAGAGGAAAGGUAGAUAUGGUCUGACUUCCUAGGCAACGGCUCAGCCAGCAAAGGGAGAAGAUGGAAAAGAGGGCAAAAUCCAAAUCCUGCUCUUCCCCAGGCCCUGGCUGCAGCAGGGCAAGGCAUGCGUCUGUGAGUAUGGAACAGGCCCCAGGAGGAGCUCUAGGACUUGGGAACAUGAAGCCUUAGGUCAGGGCCUCUGACCUGCCGUCCCAGAUGCUGAGCAGCUCUCCCAUCGUGAGAUACACGUGGUCCUGUUGGCUCAACUACUUCUGUCUGAGGGACCUGUACCUUGUCACCUGUAAGGUUUCAACUUUUCCUUACUGAGUAUGUUGCCUUUGUUUAAAAAAAAAAGUUACUUAGGCAAAAUGAUUCUCUAGAAGAGUUCCAUGUUUGGGACUUUAUCCUACAGAAAUACCCAUGAGGGCGCAAUGACACGCACGUGUGGAGAGUCAAGGCAGUUUUUUCUCCUGGCGGUAAACUGGACACCACCCAAGUACCCACCAACAGGGAUUAGGUUACGCGCAUGGUGCGGUCACAGGAUGGGCAUGACGCGACGGUAGAGGGUGACAUCGGUCCAGAGCACUAGCGUGGAAAGACGCUUAAACGAUGCCAGUAAGCCACAGAGCACAGCGCAUGUCUGUAUGAGGAGAGCAGCUUCUUGGUCUGGGAGCAUAUCAAUCAAGACCGCCUGCCCAGCGCCCAAGGGAAGUUUGGAGGAACCAUGAAACAGUGGAAGCUGUUUGGAAGGAAACGACCUUGCUGGACAAUGGGAGGGAGAGCGUGGAGCUUUGCCGCUAGUACUUGCAGAGGAAGGUGGCCCACUAGGACCCGUCUCAGCUAACAUCUUGUAUGUUUCCACUGAGCCAGCUUAAUCCUGAGGACCUAAGUCAAGUGCUGGAGUGAGAAAGAGAAAACCAGGACUACCUAGCGGACAAUGGAUUCCUCUCUGUCCAUUUGAAGAGAUCCUAACUUCUUUUGGGACACAUGCUGUCCUUACACCUGAAGACGUCUGUCCAGUCUGUGCAUGUGUGCAUUAAACCCGGAGGUGGCGGUGGCAGCAGGUGGGGAAGUUAGUCUCCUGAAGAGGUUCUCCGGGAGGGACGGGGAGCCGCCCAGCUUCCUGCUCCCUCGGGUCUGGUUGCCCCGGAAGGCCUGCUAUCCCCUCACCAGGAUGCUCUUUCCACCUCUCUCCUUCCUGUGUGGAGUCCUGCUUUCUGGAUUCCAGAUGGGAUAUUUUCUCACAUCUCUCAGUAUAUAAAUUCAUUCCUUUGACGCUUUCCUCCACUCCCGGUCGAUAAACAAGGGAACCAGUGACCUGCGGUUCUGCCACUCAGGGAUGAUGACCAGUCAGACUUUCUCUCUUCAAGUUAUUUAGCAUAAUUGGCGCAGAGAUGGGAAGAAGAGCUGAAAGCAGAAAAGACCCACCGAGACGGCCCUACGGCACACGAAGUGUGUUGAAACGAUUCCUGCUGAACUACUGUAGGGGUGAGGGUGGAAGGACACUCAGGAGCCAGUGGGCAGGAAGGCAUCGGGGAGCCCCUGGCUGGGAAGGGGUGCCUUCGGUCUGAGCCCUAAAGCUGUGUCGAUGGUGUCAAGAACCCUGUCCCAAACUCCCUGGGCCUCCGGUACCUGACCACUCUGGAUCCCCAGGAAGGGUCUCCUGUUUUCUUCUUCCAUGAGCCCCUGCCUGUGAUGGAGCCCGGGAAGCCCCCCUCCUCUCACCCAGCGGCAUGUCAUCAGUGAGGCAGGCGGGUGGCUCAGGGGGGCCUCCCAGGCGGGCUCUCAGCGUGGCCAUGGUAAGGCUUCAUCUUUCUGCAAUGUUUGACUUGGAUCUGGAAAGCCACAGUUUGAAAAAAAAAAAUGAAAGUCAUUUCGCGACUAUCGAUUUUCCAGUCACAGGACCGUUCACACUCCCUGACCGUGGCUCCCGUUUCCACAUCAAGACAAACCGAAGGUGGCUGGCAGCCCCGGGAGCUUUGGUCCACGCCAGGCGAGCACCUCCCAGCGCCCACCUGGCCCAUGGCAGAGUCCUCUCUGGGGAUAUUUUGGUCCUGCU